GAUUUGGAGUGCUGGAGCGAAGAAGAGCAAAGGCUGCCUUUUGCGCGCGCCCGACUCCGCUGCCCGCCCCGCCAGGCCUCCGGGAGGUGGGGGCUGGGAGGCGUCCCCCGCUCCCGCCCCCUCCCCACCGUGCACUGAAAGAUGAACUGGCGAGAGAAAGCGUUUGAUUUAUGAGCGUAGGACGAAUCGCAUCCAGGAGCUGCGCAGCCCUGGCCGCGGCUGGGACGCCCUGCUCCGCGCUGAGCUUAGGGCCGGAAACCAGCCAUAGUCCCCACACUCCGCCGCCGCAGCUGGGAUUUAGCGGAGGAAGGGGCGAGGGAAGGUAGGGAGCAAACCUAUGAAGAAACAUCGCGUUGUCAUUGGAACUUUCAAGCCUUUGCUGUUAAGAGCCAGGUUCUUAAAUCAACCCGCCCCACACACAUGUUGCUUACAUGCUGCGUUUUCUCACGGUCUGUUUUGCCUGAACCCAUCAACAGCUGGGAGAUUAAUCAACCACACUGAAAAUGUGGAGGGCUUUAUGGGGGAGGGAGUUGAAAUGUGGAUGUUUGAAACAAAAGUGUGUAAAUAAAUGAAUUGUUGAUAACUUAGUUAUUGACCUGGAGACUGGUAGCUUAUUAAAGAAACUCCAUGUUACUCA
rnacentral:antisense_RNA from 1 species